UCAGCACAUCAUCAUCAUCACACAUCUCAGAGCUGCACUGGAGAUGCCCUCUUUUCUGCUCAUCACAAGAUAAUACAAAGGCAGAAUUUACAAGAAAUAAACAGGAGAGAACACAUAUCAACCAGCACAGACUUAAUGAUUAAUAAUGGACAAGCGAGAAAGAGAAGAAUGGCGAACAAAAAAGGAAAAGAAAUUACGAUCUAAUGAAUCAAAGACAUCGAGUCUAUUCAGACAAAACAGCAUUUAUAGUGGCAAACCAAACUUUUCUGCAGAGUUUCAGACUCACAGGAAGCAGAAAUUCCAUUUGCCUAAACCGCAAAAUAUUCUCCAUCAUGUUUGGUCACUGAUUAAACAAUAAAUUAUCAAGAGAAUACAUAGAUAUUUACAGUAUCUAACUAUUUGAAAGAUAACAAAGUUAUAAGAAAAGAUUUUAAAAAGAAGUGUGUGUGUGUGUACAUAUAUUGCAUUAUGUGAGCAGGGAAUAUGUGACAUGAGCACUAUUGUGUUAUAGCAUUGGUGUAACUGACAAAUAUGAAAAAUUUAAUGAAUUGAAUGUAUAAAGAAUGAAAUAUACAAUAAAAAUAUGUGUAUUGCUAAUGUAUUGAAACAAACUAAUGUAUCAAACAAGAAAAUAUGUUGAAAAUAAAGCAAUUUAUUAAAUAAAGCAAUUGACUCUAGUAAUGUUACAAUUUAGCAACAUGUGCUUAAAUGUAGAGAUAUCGUGCAUAAAUUAGUUAUUUUGAAAAGCAGGUACUUUAGGGCUCUCAGGGUGAGAGAGAGAGAGAGAGAGAAUCCCGAACUCGCAUCUCUCACAGAGGAGCGGGAGCGACGUGGAUGGUCGAGAGGAACAGGCCUUCUUUUGUUCCAAUUUUGUUAUAUUUCCUUUUGGUAUUUAUAUUUUAUUUUUGGUAAACAGCAGUUCCGUGAGGGACUGCUGGCAGGUAUUUUGUUUGUUUAUUUCAUUUAAAUAAAGUUUUAUUUGAUU